rnacentral:rRNA from 1 species
UACGUAGGCAGCGAGCGUUUGUUCGGAGUUACUGGGCGUAAAGCGUGCGCAGGCGGUGAGUUAAGUCUGAUGUGAAAGCCCCGGGCUCAACCUGGGAAUGGCAUUGGAAACUGGCUCGCUGGAGUGUGGCAGAGGGGGGUGGAAUUCCGCGUGUAGCAGUGAAAUGCGUAGAGAUGUGGAGGAACACCAAUGGCGAAGGCAGCCUUCUGGGCCAACACUGACGCUCAUGCACGAAAGCGUGGGGAGCAAACGGG